rnacentral:ncRNA from 1 species
AUCCAGAGUACCACCGGACACGAGGAACCCGGUGGGAAGCCGGGGGGACCACCCCCCAAGCCUAAAUACUACCUGAUGACCGAUAGUGAAAAGUACAGUGAUGGAAAGUUGAAAAGAACCCCGGAAGGGGAGUGAAAAAGAAUCUGAAACCCUAUGUUUACAAGCUGCUAAAGCACCAUAUGAGUGCGAUAGCGUACUUUUUGUAGAACGGUCCGGCGAGUGUAUGUUGCAAGCGAGGUUAAGGUGUUAAGCACUGAAGCCGAAGGGAGACCGAGUGUGAAUAGCGCGUACAGUUUGCAGUAUACGACCCGAAACCGGGUGACCUAACCAUGGACAGGUUGAAGUGGAAGUAAAAUUCCAUGGAGGACCGAACCCACGUCUGUUGAAAAAGGCGGGGAUGAGCUGUGGUUAGCGGUGAAAUUCCAAUCGAACUCGGAUAUAGCUGGUUCUCAUCGAAAUAGCUUUAGGGCUAGCCUCAGGAUAGUUUAGCGGAGGUAAAGCACUGAAUGGGCUAGGGGGCUUCACGGCUUACCGAACCCUAUCAAACUCUGAAUGCCGCAUAAAUGUUUCCUGGGAGUCAGACUGCGUGAGAUAAGUUUCGUAGUCAAAAGGGAAAGAGCCCAGACCUACAGCUAAGGUCCCUAAAUGAAUUUAAGUGGAAAAGGAUGUGCAGUUGCGUAGACAACUAGGACGUUGGCUUAGAAGCAGCCACUCAUUUAAAGAGUGCGUAAUAGCUCACUAGUCGAGUGAUUGUGCGCCGAAAAUGUAACGGGGCUAAAAUUCAUACCGAAGCUUAGGCUUUGCACACUUUGUGUGCGAGGGGUAGAUGAGCGUUGUGUAAGUCUGCGAAGCUACACCGAAAGGAGUAGUGGAGAUAUCACAAGUGAGAAUGCCGGAAUGAGUAGCGAGAAUUAUGUGAGAAUCAUAAUGGUCGAAAAUCUAAGGUUUCUUGAGGAAGGUUCGUCCGCUCAAGGUAAGCCGGGAGCUAAGGCGAGGCCGAGAGGCGUAGUCGAUGCACAUACGGUAAAGAUUCCGUAGCCACCGAAGUCGUUAAAUACAGGGACACAGGAACAUAGCCUAACCCCACCGUUGGUUGAGUGGGGCGUAAGGGAGCGAAAAUUAGUAGCGAAGUAGGUGAUUGUACACUGGCGAGAAAAGCUGUAUGAAUUGACAAGGUGCCCGUACCGCAAACCGACACAGGUAGAUGAGGAGA